CUUGGCAGUCCUUAGAACAUCACAAGAGUUCUCUAUAUUGAUGCAAUCAUAUUAAGCUUGGUGAGCAGUAAUGAGCAACUCACCUGGAUCCCCUGACAGGAUGCAUGAUCGCCAGAUGGUGGGAGGUAAACCUACCAAGUUUCAGGGGUCUGCCAUAUCGGUGAAGUUUUCUGGGUGUCAGUGGUCUGCGGUAUUCCAGCACAUCCCUUCUAAGAAUCAGAAGAAAAUGUGACCACAGAAGAAGCUGCCAAUGGAACAACUGAAGCAAGAUGGUACACUGACAACUUAGAAGGUAGAAGACGGGGCCAAGAGCCAAGGAAUGUAAGGAAUGAGGUUCUAGAGCUGGAAAAAGCAAAGAAACAGAUUCUUCCCUGGCCUUGAGAAGGUGAGCAACCCUGCUGACAUCUUGAUCUCAGCCCAGUAAAUGGUUUCACACUUCUGACCUCUAGAAAUACAAGAAAUAAAAUGUAUGUUCUGUUAAGCCACUGAAUUUGUGCUAAUUUGUUACAACAGACAUUGGAAACUAAUGAAAAUGUCUUACUUAAUGAAACACAGCCAGGAAAUGGAAGAACUGGG
rnacentral:lncRNA from 1 species